GGAUGGAGUGAGGUGGCCACGGUCAGUCUGCUACAGCAGCACCACAUCAUCCAUCAUUGUGGGACAGGAGGACGACAACAUCCUGGUGUUCAGAGUGGAAUAGUGUGUACAUUGGCUGCUGAGUCAGGACAACAAUGAUGAGGAUGUGGUGGACAAGAAUGACCUGAGUACGCAGAAGCAACUGCUCAGCACAGAAGAUGACUGUCUGAUGAAAAGGCUCAGCCGUAUCACAGUCCAGUGAUGAGGGGGGAUGAUGCGGUCGUUCCAUGUCUUAAGAUCACAUCAUGAAAGACAUUUUAGCUGACACUUGGAAGGGAGAGAACUGAAGAUCUGCAACAGCAGUGAGCAUGAGCAUUGUUAUCGAGUUGACGUGGCAACAGCACCAGUCGGACCCCCAGGAGCCUCAGUCCAGGACAACCCUUCCCCUCCCAUGACCCAUCGCUCCACCCCUUUGACCUCCUGCCUCAAAGCUUCUUUGAACAAUACCAUUCUGCUGGAAUGUCUGAGCAAGUUGAGUUUUCACAAGCUGUUGUCAACAACUGCCGUCUCUGUGUCGAUCGAUCAGCACUCGAGUCUGAGUAGUUUGUUAAGCUCCAGAGCCGAAAAAUAAAAAGUUGGAAACCUUGUUACAUGCUUUGUGGGACUAACAGAGCAACAGCGAAUAAUGGGAGAAAAUCAAGAAACAGUUAAAGAGUGAAAAUUGGAAGCAUUAGCUAUCCACAGGGGCUACUUCUGAUUUCAAUAGUAGAAGCAUAAUGGACCAUCCUGAUUUGUCCUCUAAUGCGUCCAAAAUGUUCAAAACGAACGUGCUUUUUACGCAGUUGCUGACAAAAAAACUUUGUUAUGAACACUCAUAGCAUGAUGAAUACAUCGAGUGUGGUUCAGGCGCAAAUUCUGCCCAUCAUCAUUAACAAGGUGCUUAAGGUGCAUCCAUCAGGGUUGUUACAAGCACUUCACACUCCAAGACAAAACGGCCUCGCAUUGAAUAGACACUAGAUAAAGCUUGAAAAAUGACAGCAGUUUUGUUGUGUGGUCAAGUAUGCCCUUUGACUCUCAACCCGACAUAAGGUAGAACUCAAACUCGGCCCUCAGCAAUAUCAGCGAGGCUAGCAGUUUUGUUGUUUGGUCCAGUAUGCACUUUGACUCUCAACCUGACAUAAGGUAGAACAGCAGUUUUGUUGUGUGGUCCAGUAUGCCCUUUGACUCUCAACCCGACAUUAGGUAGAACUCAAACUCGGCCCUCAGCAAUAUCAGCGAGGCAAGCAUGUCAUCUCACCUUCUUCAGCCUCAGCAAACAGUAUUAGCCAACAAGACAAACCUCGUUGAAGUAAAUGUUGAUGGCAAUCCGCGCCCCCUUCUUUAACAAAUACUACAACUUGCUCAAGAAAUUAAGUACCAAGACGCCUUGCAUCAGCCUAGCACGCCACAUCUUCUCCAAUGUUGGCUACAGCAACACUUCAAACAGCAGAGCCUUGAUGAGUCCGACUUUCAUCCCAUCGUUGAUGUUGCUUAGCAACGAUUCAAUGCUGGACAUGGACAACUUGUUCCAGACGAGUUGCUGAAGUGGAAAAGAUUUGUCAUUACACAGCAGAUAGAGCAGGCGUUAAGUGACUUUCUGUAAAUGUGACUGACCUCCAUAUGUUGCUCUGAAAUAAUGUGAACCUGACGCCUGAGGAGCAGUCUGUGAUUGACGCCAUUUAGCAGCAGCUGUUUACUGACAUACCCGAUUUUGGGUUUGUUGAAUUUGGCAUCUGGACUUGCAUCAUCUCUGUCUGUAUCCCAUUCAAAGCAGCAGCAACAUUAACAACAACAACAGACGAGUCGCUUAAACAGAAACUAUCUGAUCCAACAGAUAGAGCAGGCGUUGCGUGACUUGUUCCUUAUUGCGACUGACCUCGAUAAGUUGCUCUCGAAUAAUGUGAACUUUAUGCCAGUAUGCGAUUGACACCAUUUAACAGCAGUUGUUGUUGAGAAUUCCCGGGUUUGAGGAGACAACUUUGGCGUUGGGACUCGCUCCAUCUCUGUCUAUGGCCCGGUCAAAGCAGCAGCAGCAAUAAGAACAAUAAGUAGUAUCUUAGCGGUGUUCUGGGAUACUGGGCUUCAUGUAUGUGCUUAAAGUGUCAUCCCAGAAUAUCCUGUGCAGAUUGCACAUACAUAAAGUCCUUUUAAAGUGUCAUCCAAGACUAGCCUGUGCAGACUUCACAUACAUUAAGCCCUAUUAAAGUGUCAUCCCAGAUUAGCCUGUGCAGACUGCACAUACAUAAAGUCCUAUUAAAGUGUCAUCCAAGACUAGCCUGUGCAGACUUCACAUACAUUAAGCCCUAUUAAAGUGUCAUCUCAUAUUAGCCUGUGCAGACUGCACAUACAUAAAGUCCUAUUAAAGCGUCAUCUCAGAUUAGCCUGUGCAGAUUGCACAUACAUCAAGUCCUAUUAAGAUGUCAUCCCAGAAUAUCCUGUGCAGAUUUCACAUACAUAAAGUCCUUUUAAAGUGUCAUCCAAGACUAGCCUGUGCAGACUUCACAUACACUAAGCCCUAUUAAUGUGUCAUCCCAUAUUAGCCUGUGCAGACUUCACAUACAUUAAGCCCUAUUAAAGUGUCAUCCCAGAUUAGCCUGUGCAGACUGCACAUACAUAAAGUCCUAUUAAAGUGUCAUCCAAGACUAGCCUGUGCAGACUUCACAUACAUUAAGCCCUAUUAAAGUGUCAUCCCAGAUUAGCCUGUGCAGACUGCACAUACAUUAAGUCCUAUUAAAGUGUCAUCCCAUAAUAAGCCUCUGCAGACUGCACAUACAUUAAGUCCUAUUAAAGUGUCAUCCCAGAUUAGCCUGUGCAGGCUGCACAUACAUUAAGUCCUAUUAAAGUGUCAUCCCAGAAUAUCCUGUGCAGACUUCACAAACAUCAAGUCCUAUUUAAGUGUCAUCCCAGAAUAUCCUGUGCAGACUGCACAUACAUCAAGUCCUAUUUAAGUGUCAUCCCAUAAUAUCCUGUGCAGACUGCACAUACAUUAAGCCCUAUUAAAGUGUCAUCCCAGAUUAGCCUGUGCAGAUUGCACAUACAUCAAGUCCUAUUAAAGUGUCAUCCCAGAUUAGCCUGUGCAGAUUGCACAUACAUUAAGUCCUAUUAAAGUGUCAUCCCAGAUUAGCCUGUGCAGAUUGCACAUACAUUAAGUCCUAUUAAAGUGUCAUCUCAGAUUAGCCUGUGCAGACUGCACAUACAUUACGUCCUAUUAAAGUGUCAUCCCAGAUUAGCCUGUGCAGACUGCACAUACAUUAAGUCCUAUUAAAGUGUCAUCCCAGAUUAGCCUGUGCAGACUGCACAUACAUCAAGACCUAUUUUCCAAGAAUGAGGCUCAUAUAGUUCACUUAACGUCAGUCCUUUUUCUGCCUGAUUGAAGAAAAGCUCCUAACAUCAAAUGUGAAUUCACGUUUUUAAAUUUAUCAAACUUGGAAAAUAAAUAAUAAAUAAAAGUUGAUCUGAUAUCAGUUUUAGUCAUAGAAGGUCAGAACAUAGUUUUGUCUAUUUUUGGGCCAAAAUUCAAACCCUGAACCAAAAGUUUCUCCUUGCAUAAUUAAAAUAUCUGCUUAAAUCAAAUUGUUGAAUUCUCUUUAAUUUGAGUAAAAAAAUAUUUAAAUGCAUUCAGCACAUUUAAAUAUUAUUUUCUUCAUUUAUUUUCAAUAUUUAAUUUAAUUCCUGCAUUUUGUUUUAAGAGCCUGUUCCUCCUGGUCCAGGACCUUUGGACAAAUGUUCAAAUAGUACUACCCACAGGAUGAAGCCACUCUGAAUCCGGGGCUCCAUACUUUCUUGGCCAGGGGCCAAGACUACCUCGUCAUUAAGCAGAGCACCAGCAUUGAUAUUGAGUUGGCCCAGCAACCGCACGAGUCCCGCCUGCAGGAGCCCCAGUCCAGAAUGACCCUUCCCCUCCCCUGACUUCUAACUUCUCCCUCUUGACCUCCUGACUAAAAAAUUCAGCAUCGUUGAACAACUCCGUUCUGCAGGAAAUUCUGAGCAUGAUUCUGUUCUGAACAAAUGCAAUGCCCACGUCAACUUGUCCACACAUAAGCCUGGGUAGUUUUGUUAAGCUAGAGUUCCGCGUGGGCCUGAGAGGGACGAGUUUUACAGACAAGAAAAGUUAUAGCAGUAGUUAUGGUAACGCUAACAGUCAGUUGCUGCUGUUAGACAUCACAACAAAUACCAUGAAGAAUAAAAGUGUAAUAACUUGUUCCAAUCUUUAUGGGACAAACAUAAGUUGAACGGGAGAAAAUCAAGGAACAACAAAAUCGUAAGCUCUCCUAGUGGGAUACUUCUGCUGUUAAUAGUUUGGACGACAGUGGGGUUACGGACUUCCCCAGAUUGUCCUCUCAGCGGCAAAAAUAUCAAUAGAACGGACUUUUUGCAAUGUUACUGACAAAGAAAGGCAGUAAUGACUUGGUUGUGAAUACCCAGAGCACGAUACAUCCAUGCUGACACAGAAAGACGGUAAUGACUUGGUUGUGAACACCCAGAGCCCGAUACAUCCAUGCUGACACAGAAAGGCAGUAAUGACUUGGUUGUGAACACGUCGAGCACGAUACAUCCAUGCUGACACAGAAAGGCAGUAAUGACUUGGUUGUGAAAACCCAGAGCACGCUACAUCCAUGCUUACAAAAAAGGCAGUAAUGACUUGGUUGUGAACAUCUUGAGCACGCUACAUCCAUGCUGACAAAAAAAGGCAGUAAUGACUUGGUUGUGAACACCCAGAGCACGAUACAUCCAUGCUGACAAAGAAAGGCAGUAAUGACUUGGUUGUGUACACCUUGAGCACGAUACUUCCAUGCUGACAAAAAAGGCAGUAAUGACUUGGUUGUGAACACUCAGAGCACAAUACAUCCAUGGGGUGUGCAUCAGAUGGAAUUUUGCCUAUUAUUGUUAACAAGUUGCUAAGAGUGAACACGUCUGGUUUUGUUAUGAGCACUUCCCACUCAGAGCCCAAAGGUCCUCGCAUUGAAGCGAUGCAAAAGAAGACUUUGAAAAAUGACAGCAGUUGUGUUGUGUGGUCCAGUAAUCCUUUCAACUCUCAACCUGAAGUUUAUCAAAACUCAAACUCAGCCCUUUGCAAUAUCACACCUUGCAACACAGUGUACUUUACCAUGAAUGUUUUGCGGUUUAAAACACCAAAAUUUCAAUUAAAAGUUUGUGCUCGUAACAUAUUGAUACAUUGCUAUUCUGAGUUCUAAUUACGAUAUCCUUAAUAUCAAUAAUAGAUGAAAUGUUUGGCAUUAAAAAAACAGGUGUGUAAAGUAAUUUGUUACAGUGCAUAUUCAUUUGUCACGAAAAAAAUUAGGGUUAAGUUUGCUUGUCAUUUCCUUUUUAGCAAACAUUAUUAGACAACAAAACAAACGUCGUUUAAGUGAAAGUCCAAGACAAUUCUGACCUAGUUUGGGCACAAGUACAACAACUAAGUAAAGAAAUUCACUUUGUCUUGCAUCAGCCUACAUGUAGAAAGCCUCUUAUAAACAUCUCCCAAGUUGGCUACAUCAACGCUUCCAACAGCGUAACUUGGCAUCGACACAUUGUUCCGAACGAGUCGCUCAAACUGAAACGAUCUGAUCCAACAGAGAGCAGGCUCUGCGUGACUCGUCUGUUAAUGUGACUGACCUGGAUAUGUUGCUUUCCAAUAAUAUGAGCCUUACUCCAGAUUAGCUGUCUGCGAUUGACGCAAUUCAACAACAGUUGUUGUCAGGAAUUUCAGGCUUUGGGAUGGCAAUUUGGCGUCGGGGCUUCAUCUCUGUCUUUGGCCUGGUCGCAGCAGAAGCAGCAACAAGAACAACAAUUAGUAUAAGAGCCUUCAUCUGGGAUAUGGGGUUUCAUAGCCUGUUCCUACAGGAACCCAUGCAAUCAUAGAUCGGUACCUAGCUGAACAACAGGCUGUCUGGUUAGCUGGGCCCAGGGCCCAGUGACACUUCCUGGCCCAGGACCUUGGGGCCAAUGCUCAACUAGUCCUACCCGCAGGGUGGAGCCACACUGAACCUGGGGCUUCAUACUUUCUUGGCCAGGGGCCAAGAUAUCCUCGUCAAUUAGGGACACAUUCCUGGGAUGCCCUAAGGUCUUUCUAUCUGUUCCAAAAGGUCUUAUACUCACAAGUUCAAGCCCAGUAGCGAUGUCCACAUUAUCAAACUCUGCAUCUCAAUAGAAACCCGGAUAGCAAGGAGUUGAGUUUGUUCUUGAAGCAUUUGCACCAGAAGCAGUCAUCAUGUUGAUAUUCUGGAAUCUCCAUGGAGAAGGAACCUCAGUCUGUGAAUGAAAGGCAGAGCAAACCUCAGAUGCCUUUUGACGAAAUCAAACCAUCCAAUCAGAAACACAGACUGUUGCAGCAGUUGUUACCAUAUUGACCCCAGUCAAACCUAAGAAGCUCAGUGAUAAAAACUGAUUUAUCACAACAAUUCAAGUGGAAAGCCACAUGUCAACAACUACAUGUUGUAUGUUGCCAGCCAAGUUGUAUUCAAAGACAAACAAUACUUUAUGCUCUAUUGUGUAUGUGACCAGCCAAGUUGUAUUCAAAGAAAAAGUCAAAAACAAUAGUUUACGUUUUAUUUUUUAUGUGACCAACCAAGUUGUUUGUAUAGGUCCCUGGUUUAGCAAAGCAUUUAAAGUAUUUUUAAAAGCACACAUAUUGCAUGUCUGUUCAAUGUCUUUGCCUGUAUUAUGAAACUUUCACUACAGAUGUUGAUCCUGAUGAUGAUAAAUAAAUGGAAAAUACAAUGUUAUCAAAGAUUUGUUAAGAUUGCCAAAGCUGUUUAAAUGAUGUUGGUAAUUUGAACAAAAUUGAAAAAAACAUAUGGAUAACAAGACUUGUUUAGUCAAUACAUCGAAAAGAAACAUAUGGAUAACAAGACUUGUUUAGUCAAUACAUCGAAAAGAAACUAAAAAAACAACACCUAAAUAAUAUUUAAAAAAUAUAAUGUUCAGUGCCAAAAUAAUGCAUUAACACAUUUAUUUGCAUUUUAAAAGAAAGUGUCAUUAGCAUAAAAGUAAUUAAGAUUGUCUGAAGAUUGAACGACAGACAAUUUGACGCAACAAAGAGCUCUAUGCAUUAGCCGUAUAAUUAUUUGCAGAAAAGCUUCAAUAAAAAUAAUGAUACAACUAAUUAUAAAAUUGUAAUUAUCAAUUGCAUGCGUAAACUAGAAUAAUAAAAAAUUAGUGAUAGCUAGAAUGUGUCAGUGUUUCAUUGAAAAUAAACGUACUACAAAGCCCUAUUAAAAGCGAAGUUCAUGACGGUAUUUACAUGUUAUUUUAAUUUGGAUGGGUGUUGUUCAGAGAAUGACUUGAGGAAUAUUAACAUUUAACUGAAAAACACAACCUCACAUGAUGCAAAUUGAACUGUGUAUUCAUGUAUUUUGUACAUGUGUUUUCAUGUUAUAAGACAUGUUUCAAUUGACUGUUUUUAACCCGUUAAUACAGAUAAGCUAAUGAAAAAUAUUUGUUCAAAAAGAUGUAAAAUGUUUACGCUUCAGAUUUUUGUCUAUCAACCUUCUGAAAACAAUACUAGUCAAUUGGCUCAUUUGGGUCGGUAUUCCAUCAUGAAUCUUUUUUAGUAGCAUACUAUGUAUUUCAUGGGAAAAUAAAUAAAUUCUGGGCAAAAUUAUCUACCUUAAAUAAUUGAUUCUGUAUUUACUACUGGUACUUUGUUGAUUUCAGUGGAUAUUGUUUGUUAAAUGAUAAUAGUAUGACUCUUGUUGAAAAGCUUUAAAUGAAACUGUGAAUUAAAAAAUAAAUAUUUAAUUUGUUUUAGAGUUUAAUGAAAAAUGGCAAAAGAUUGAUAAGUUGUGUUGUUAUAUCAUAUACUAACAUGGUCAUAAGUGUUAAAAUUUGUUUUCAGACUUAAAAGUUUAUUAUGUUUUAUAUUUGUAUAUGUACAUAAAGACGACCAGAUUGUAUCCUCUUUAAUCAAUGAGUAACUUAAUCAAGAUUUCUUGAUCAGUGUUUCAAGUGUAUAUUUUGCCAUUUAUAAGUAGAUCAACUGUAAAACAAUUGUAUUUUAAAUGUAAUGUAUUCAUGUAUUGUUGCCAUUUUUAUGUCCCCCACUAUAUUAGUGGGGGACAUAUUGUUUUUGCCCUGUCUGUUGGUUGGUUGGCCUGUUGGUUGGUCUGUUGGUUGGUCUGUUGGUUUGUACCAACUUUAACAUUUGCAAUAACUUUUGCAAUAUUGAAGAUAGCAACUUGAUAUUUGGCAUGCAUAUGUAUCUCAUGAAGCUGCACAUUUUGAGUGGUGAAAGGUCAAGGUCAUCCUUCAAGGUCAAAGGUCAAAUAUAUGGGUCAAAAUCGCUAAUUUAAUGUACACUUUUGCAAUAUUUCAAUAUUCAAGAUAGCAACUUGAUAUUUGGCAUGCAUGUGUAUAUCAUGGAGCUGCACAUUUUGAGUGGUGAAAGGUCAAGGUCAUCCUUCAAGGUCAGAGGUCAAAUAUAUGUGGCCAAAAUCGCUCAUUUCAUGAUUACUUUUGCAAUAUUGAAGAUAGCAACUUGAUAUUUGGCAUGCAUGUGUAUCUCAUGGAGCUGCACAUUUUGAGUGGUCAAGGUCAAGGUCAUCCUUCAAGGUCAAAUAUAUGGGUCAAAAUUGCUUAUGUAAUGUCACUUCUGCAAUAUUGAAGCUAGCAAUUUUAUAUUUGAAAUGCAUGUGUAUCUCAUGUAGCUGCACAUUUUGAGUGGUGAAGGAUCAAGGUCAAGGUCAUCCUUCAAGGUCAAACGUCAUAUAGGGGGACAUUGUGUUUCACAAACACAUCUUUUUUUCUACCGGUAUAUGAUGCCCAGCAAAGUACAUACAAAGUCUAUUACUGUAAGUUAGAAUUUGCCAACCAAGUAAUAGGAACAGUCAAUGUUUGGCUACAAAAUGAUCCUGAUGUUUUUUCAGUUAAUCAGUUACAUUAUUAGUUGGCAUCUGUAUUAUUGUGGUAUCUCUGCUAAAAAAUUGUGUGUGUAAUAGCAUGGCCCUCAAUCUAUCAGCCAAUUUCGGCUGCAGUCCCCCACCUGAAAAGUAUACUUUUUUCCCCUUUUGGGGGAAAGAAUUCCCCCUGAAAAAGAAUUUUUAUGUCCCCCACUAUAGUAGUGGGGAACAUAUUGUUUUUGCCCUGUCUGUUGGUUGGUCUGUUUGCGCCAACUUUAACAUUUUGCAAUAACUUUUGCUAUAUUGAAGAUAGCAACUUGAUAUUUGGCAUGCAUGUGUAUCUCAUAGAGUUGCACAUUUUGAGUGGUGAAAGGUCAAGGUCAUCCUUCAAGGUCAGAGGUCAAAUAUAUGUGGCCAAAAUCGCUCAUUUUAUGAAUACUUGUGCAAUAUUGAAGAUAGCAACUUGAUAUAUGGCAUACAUGUGUAUCUCAUUGAGCUGCACAUUUUGAGUGGUAAAAGGUCAAGGUCAUCCUUUAAGGUCAGAGGUCAAAUAUAUGUGGCCCAAAUCGCUUAUUUUAUGAAUACUUUUGCAAUAUUGAAGAUAGCACCUUGAUAUUUGGCAUGCAGGUGUAUCUCAUUUAGGUGCACAUUUUGAGUGGUGAAAGGUCAAGGUCAUCCUUCAAGGUCCUCAUCCUUCAAGGUCAAAGGUCAAACAUAUGGGUCAAAAUCGCUCAUUUAAUGUACACUUUUGUAAUAUUUCAACAUUCACGAUAGCAACUUGAUGUUUGGCAUGCACGCGUAUCUCAUGGAGCUGCACAUUUGAGUGGUGUAAGGUCAAGGUCAAGGUCAUCCUUCAAGGUCAGAGGUCUAAUAUAUAUGGCCAAAAUCGCUCAUUUUUAAGGUCAUAUUUCAAUGUCAAAGGUCAAAUAUAUGGGAGGACAUAGUGCUUCACAAGCAAAUCUUGUUAUAAGAUAAACUCACUGUUAAAAUGUGUUUAAUUUUGUUUUACAUUAUCUGAAGAAAAAAUAGUACCUUGUAAUUUGAAAUCAGUCAAUGAAAAAUUAAGGGAGUGUUGCCAUAUGCUAACAAUAGUCAAGAAGUGCAAUUGUCUCUAUUGGUAAUACAACAGAGCAAUACAAUUUGCUUAAACAAGAUUACAGCAUAAAGGGUGCCAUUCUUGGCUACGGGUGCAGUUUUGAAUACCAACCAAGCAGUGGUCUAAUGGUAAGAUGCUGGCUUAGGGAUCGAGAGGUCCCGGGUUCGAAUCCCGCCCUGACCGCUGGAAUUUCCUUGAGCAAGAAAUUUAUCCCACAACUGCUCCUCUCCACCUAGGUGUAUAAAUGGGUACCUGUGAGGGAAAUAAGCCAAUGUGCCGUGACUGCAUACUGCGCCAAGAUGUUAACGGACGACUUAUGACCCAGUGAUCAGGGAAAAACUGUAAAGCGCCUUUGAACGCACAUCUCGAGUAUGAAAAGGGCGCUAUAUAAAUGUGGUAUAAAAAAAAAAGAAUAAAUGAAAGCUUAUCAGAAUUUAUUUGAGAAGUCACAGUGACUUGACCAUUGACCUAGUGACCCCAAAAUGGGUGUGGUGUGUAGAACUCAUCAAUGUGCAUCUACAUAUGAAGUUUGAAAGUUGUAGUUGGAAGCACUUUGAUUUUAGAGCCAAUGUUAAGGUUUUAGCACGACGCAGACGGCGGACGACACGACGAACUGGCUACGACAAUACCUCGGGUUUUCUCCAUUUAUACCGAGCUAAAAAUAAAAACUAAGAUGUCUGCUUUGCAAUUUCUUCAAAAAAUAGACACUUAUGAAUGUGCUUAUAUUAAACGUGAACAGUAUUGACAUAUUGCUUACGAUAACGUUUGACAUUUUAUUAGUUUUGUAAUAGCGUGUUUGACCUUUCGCAUUGACCAUCCCACAAUCCCACAUUUGCUUUCAGUGGGGCCAGUUUCUGUAAAUCUUCCACAACAAGUUCAGCAAAUGUUUUAUGACCAGAUUUCCUCAUAUUUGGGAGUGUUUAUAUUUAACUUUUAUUGAAUGCAUAAAACACGUUUGUUCUGUUUUUGAAUAGCUGAAAAUAGCUUGAUGUUUGUAAAUUGUGUGACAUGUUGAUCAAAUUGAUACAUAGAAAAAAACACAUUUUGCAUUUAUUUGUAUUUGUAGCUAAGCAACACAUGUUACCAAAUACAAAUUUAAGUAUUUGGUAUAAAUAUAUAAUGAUUUGCUAUAUUCGUAAUAUCGUAUGAAAUGCAAUUUUAAUUAUAAUGUGUUAAUAUGUUUGUCUACUCCAAAUAAUUAUUGUAUAUAAGUAAAUAUAGGGUAAAAAUGUCUAUGGAAAGUAUCCGUAGGCACGUUUCAAUUGCUUGUGUACCUCAUAUGGAUCAGGGUCUUUCUAAAUUAUUGCAUGAGUGUUAAUGCCUAUGUCUGAUUGUGUAAAUAUCUUCAAAUAUAUUUGUUAAGAGGAUUUUAAUAUUAAAAGAUAAACUAGUAUCUAAACUUUAACCGUGCAUCUUUUGCAUUUAUUUUAACGUGUUUAUAUUGUUUGGCUUACAGAGUUUAAUAUUGUCUAUAUUCGUGCGUACUUUUAUUGUGAUUGAUUUGGUAAGACAAAGUGCAUAUCACUAAUGCUGUUGUUUUUGUUUUAUGUUAUAUGUAAAUAAUUAAACAUGUUUAUUUUGGUGAUAUGUAUUUCCAAAUCUAAGUGUGUUGUUGCAUUCUCAAUAAAGUACAUAGCCAUACACGUGGAAUAGUAUUGCUAAGUGACAAUUUGUUGUCUUUACAAAUAAAAUCCGCAAGGAUUGUCGUUUCAAUUAUAUAUAGCUUUCCCCUAUUGAAUCUGGGUAAAAACGUGACCGUGAGCUCAUUUUGUUUUAUGUUGACUGCCAAUAUAAUUAUAUAUAUAUAUAUAUAUAUAUAUAGAAAGAAAUUGUUCAAAAGGUGUAUCUUAUACCCUAGCGCUUUCGACUACACGUCUUCUUCAGGGGUGUAUACAGAUAUGAGUCCCCAGUGCGAAUGCACAAUAGAGGUUAACUUAUUGGCUUUCAGUCUUUGUUUUUUUUUAGUUAUAUGUCGUUUUUAACCAUGUUUUCCGAAGGAAAAAACUGGUUAUUAGAUUGGCGAAUGCGGGCGGGCUGGCUGGCUGGCUGGCUGGCGGGCUGGCUGGCGGGCUGGCGGAAUAAGCUUGUCCGGGCCAUAACUAUGUCGUUCAUUGUCAGAUUUUAAAAUCAUUUGGCACAUUUGUUCACCAUCAUUAGCGGUGUGUCGCGCGAAAUAAUUACGUCGAUAUCUCCAAGGUCAAGGUCACACUUUGAGUUCAAAGGUCAAAAAUGGCCAUAAAUGAGCUUGUCCGAGCCAUAACUAUGUCGUUCAUCGUCAGAUUUUAAAAUCAUUUGGCACAUUUGUUCACCAUCAUUGGACGGUGUGUCGCGCGAAAUAAUUACGUCGAUAUCUCCAAGGUCAAGGUCACACUUUGAGUUCAAAGGUCAAAAAUGGCCAUAAAUGAGCUUGUCCUGGCCAUAACUAUGUCAUUCAUUGUGAGAUUUUAAAAUCAUUUGGCACAUUUGUUCACCAUCAUGGGACAGUGUGUCCCACGAAAGAAUCACGUCAAUAUCUCCAAUGUCAAGGUCGCCACGACUAAAAAAAGAUUUAAUAAAAAAAAAAAAACUUACAAAGGGGGUUAUUUUUUUUUGGUCAUUUCAAAAGUUCAGUUUGAGUUUUCUCCCUUUAUCAGAUUUUUUUUUCACAAUGAAAACCUGGUUUUGUGACAAUUUUGACCCUUGUAUAUUUUUUAUUUUUUAUUUAUGCAUAUUAAAAUUGUGUUAUAGACUGACGCCCGUAAUAUAAUUUAUAUCGAUGUUAUAAUAAAAAAUAUUAUAAUUUGCAGUGAACGUUUUGCAUUCAGUAUUGUGUCAUAUUUAUGCCCCCCUUCGAAGAAGAGGGGGUAUAUUGCUUUGCACAUGUCGGUCUGUGGGUCCAUCCACCAGGUGGUUUCGGGAUGAUAACUCAAGAACGCUUGUGCCUAGGAUCAUGAAACUUCAUAGGUUCAUUGAUCAUGACUCGCAGAUGACCCCUAUUGAUUUUGAUGUCACUAGGUCAAAUGUCAAGGUCACGGUGACCCGAAAUAGUAAAAUGGUUUCCGGAUGAUAACUCAAGAACGCUUAGGCCUAGGAUCAUGCAACUUGAUAGGUAGAUUCAUCAUGACUCGCAGAUGACCCCUAUCGAUUUUCAGGUCACUAGCACAAAGGUCAAGGUCACAGUGACCCGAAAUAGUAAAAUGGUUUCCGGAUGAUAACUCAAAAACGCUUAUGCCUAGGAUCAUGAAACUUCAUAGUACAUUGAUCAUGACUCGCAGAUGACCCCUAUUGAUUUUAAGGUCACAAGGUCAAAGGUCAAGGUCACGGUGACCUGAAAUAGUAAAAUGGUUUCCGGAUGAUAACUCAAGAACGCUUAUGCCUAGGAUCAUGAAACUUCAUAGGUACAUUGAUCAUGACUCGCAGAUGACCCCUAUUGAUUUUAAGUCACAAGGUCAAAGGUCAAGGUAACGGUGACCCGAAAUAGUAAAAUGGUUUCCGGAUGAUAACUCAAGAACGCUUAUGCCUAGGAUCAUUGAACUUGAUAGGUAGAUUGAUCAGGACUCGCAGUUGACCCCUAUUGAUUUUCAGGUCACUAUAUCAAAGGUCAAGGUCACGGUGACCAGAAAUAGUAAAAUGGUUUCCGGAUGAUUACUCAAGAAUGCUAAUUGCUACGAUCAUAAAACUUCAUAGGUACAUUGAUCAUGACUCGCAGAUGACCCCUAUCGAUAUUGAGGUCACUAGGUCAAAGGUCAAGUUCACGGUGACCCGAAAUAGUAAAAUGGUUUCCAGAUGAUAACGGAAGAACGCUUAUUCCUAGGAUCAUGAAACUUGAUAGGUAGAUUGACCAUGACUCGCAGAUGACCCGUUUUGGAUUUUCAGGUCACUAGGUUAAAGGUCAAGGUCACGUUGACCCGAAAUAGUAAAAUGGUUUCCGGAUGAUAACUCAAUAACGCUUAUGGCUAGGAUCAUGAAACUUGAUAGGUACAUUGAUCAUGACUGGCAGAUGAGCCCUAUUGAUUUUCAGGUCGCUAGGUCAAAGGUCAAGGUCACAGUGACAUAAAACAUAUUCACACAAUGGCUGUCACUACAGCAGAGAUCCCAUAUGGGGGUCAUGCAUGUUUUACAAACAGCCCUGGUUAUUUUUCGUUUUAUGAUUAUGUACAUACACUUAUUAUAAUUCUGUGUUAUAAAAUGGCGCUUAAAAUGUUUAUUAUAUCGAUAUAACGUUUAAAUGAUUAAAAUGGAAGUUAGAAUUUAG